AUUGACCGAGAGACAAGUUCCAAGUUUCUCUCUUCCUGUCGUUCGGUUUUUUUUUUUUUUUUUUUCGUAAAAAUUGGAUCCUUAAUGGCGAAUCUGCUGGAGUGACACUCGACUUUACAUCGGACAUAAGACAACUUAUGUCACACCAUUUCGAGAUCUUGCCGCGUUCUGCAUCCGAAUGUCAUCUGUUAUCAGCAGCGAAAAGUACGUUCAUCGACGGAUCUCGAGGGGCAGCACUGUCUGUUCUCCGUACGAUGUAUACAAUAAAUUCAGGAGCGACCGGCAAUGAUGUAAUUACGACUAUGACACUGGAUCGUUCAUUUGGGAUUUCUUGGUU